UUCUAUUAGAUUUUGGACCAAUUUCCUAUAGGAUCCUAUAGAAAUUUGUAUAGGAAUUCCUAUAGGAAAUUGGGCCGAAAUCUAAUAGG